rnacentral:tRNA from 1 species
GGCGUAGCUCAGUUGGUAGAGCUCCGGCUUGUGAUGCCGGCGGUCGUGGGUUCAAACCCCAUCGUC